AACGAACGCUGGCGGCAUGCCUAACACAUGCCAGUCGAACGAGACCUUCGGGUCUAGUGGCGCACGGGUGCGUAACGCGUGGGAACCUGCCCUUAGGUUCGGAAUAACUCCCCGAAAUGGGUGCUAAUACCGGAUAAUGUCUUCGGACCAAAGAUUUAUCGCCUUUGGAUGGGCCCGCGUUGGAUUAGCUAGUUGGUAGGGUAAAAGCCUACCAAGGCGACGAUCCAUAGCUGGUCUGAGAGGAUGAUCAGCCACACUGGGACUGAGACACGGCCCAGACUCCUACGGGAGGCAGCAGUGGGGAAUAUUGGACAAUGGGCGAAAGCCUGAUCCAGCAAUGCCGCGUGAGUGAUGAAGGCCUUAGGGUUGUAAAGCUCUUUUACCCGGGAUGAUAAUGACAGUACCGGGAGAAUAAGCUCCGGCUAACUCCGUG
rnacentral:rRNA from 1 species